rnacentral:rRNA from 1 species
UACGUAGGGUGCGAGCGUUAAUCGGAAUUACUGGGCGUAAAGCGUGCGCAGGCGGUUCGUUGUGUCCGUCGUGAAAUCCCCGGGCUCAACCUGGGAACUGCAUUUGUGACUGCAAGGCUAGAGUACGGUAGAGGGGGAUGGAAUUCCGCGUGUAGCAGUGAAAUGCGUAGAUAUGCGGAGGAACACCGAUGGCGAAGGCAAUCCCCUGGACCUGUACUGACGCUCAUGCACGAAAGCGUGGGGAGCAAACAGG